AAUGAACGUUGGCGGCGUGGAUUAGGCAUGCAAGUCGUACGGGCCGCAAGGCCAGUGGCGCAAGGGUGAGUAAGGCGACGGUAACCAACCCCACGACUGGGUAUAGCCGCGGGAAACUGCGGGUAAUCCCCAGCGACGUCCGAGGGGGGCAUCCCCCCCGGACCAAAGCCCCGGCGUCGUGGGACGGGCUGUCGUGGUAUUAGCUAGUUGGCGGGGUAACGGCCCACCAAGGCGUUGAUGCCUACCGGGCGUGCGAGCGUGGCCCGGCACACUGGGACUGAGACACUGCCCAGACUCCUACGGGAGGCUGCAGUCGAGAAUCUUCGGCAAUGGGCGCAAGCCUGACCGAGCGACGCCGCGUGGAGGACGAAGGCCUUCGGGUUGUAAACUCCUGUCGAGGGGGAAGAAGGGGCGAGAGCCCUUGACUGAUCCCUGGAGGAAGCACGGGCUAAGUUCGUGCCAGCAGCCGCGGUAAGACGAACCGUGCGAACGUUAUUCGGAAUCACUGGGCUUAAAGCGCGUGUAGGCGGGCGGGAACGUCGGUCGCUGAAAUCCCCCGGCUCAACCGGGGAAGGGGCGCCGAAACGGUUCGCCUGGAGGAACGUAGGGGGAGCUGGAACUUCCGGUGGAGCGGUGAAAUGCGUUGAGAUCGGAAGGAACGCCCGUGGCGAAAGCGAGCUCCUGGACGUUUUCUGACGCUGAGACGCGAAAGCCAGGGGAGCGAACGGGAUUAGAUACCCCGGUAGUCCUGGCCGUAAACGAUGGGCACUGGGUAGGGGGCUCGCCGAUGGGCUCCCUGCCGUAGGGAAACCGUGAAGUGCCCCGCCUGGGGAKUAUGGUCGCAAGGCUGA
rnacentral:rRNA from 1 species